rnacentral:rRNA from 1 species
GACGAACGCUGGCGGCGUGCUUAACACAUGCAAGUCGAACGGAAAGGCCUGCUUUCCCUUGUGGAUUGCGGGUACUCGAGUGGCGAACGGGUGAGUAACACGUGAGUGAUCUGCCCCCAACUUGGGUAUAAGCCAGGGAAACUGGGUCUAAUUCCCGAUAGGACUGCAGGGUGGUGCCUGUGGUGGAAAACGAUUUUCUAGUGGUUGGGGAUGAGCUCGCGGCCUAUCAGCUUGUUGGUGGGGUAAUGGCCUACCAAGGCGGCGACGGGUAGCCGGCCUGAGAGGGUGGACGGCCACAUUGGGACUGAGAUACGGCCCAGACUCCUACGGGAGGCAGCAGUGGGGAAUAUUGCACAAUGGGCGGAAGCCUGAUGCAGCGACGCCGCGUGGGGGAUGACGGCCUUCGGGUUGUAAACUCCUUUCGACCGCGAGGAAGCCACCUGGUUGGAAGGGUGGUGACGGUAGUGGUAGAAGAAGCACCGGCUAACUACGUG